CUAGGUCGAAUGUUGAUCACAAAUACAUAGUUCAGUUGAUCAAAUCAUGAUUAGUUGAACAAAAUGGUGUUUCCCUUCUAUCUGACUGUCAUU